rnacentral:tRNA from 1 species
GAGGGUAUAGCUCAGUGGUAGAGUGCAUGCCUUGCAUGCAUGAGAUCCUGGAUUCAAUCCCCAUUGCCUCCA